rnacentral:lncRNA from 1 species
ACACGCUUCCCCACUGAGGGAAGACCAUGUGACUAUACAACAGGAAGGUAGUUGUUUACAAGCCAGGAAGAGAGCCCUCACCAGAAACCAAAUUGGCUGGCGCCUUGAUCAUGGACUCCUGGGCUCCGGAACUGUAAGAAAAUUUGUGUUGUGGAAGCCACCCAGCCCAUGGUAUUUCGUUAUGGCAGCCUGAGCAGAGGUGGUAGCUAUGUGGACAGUUUUUGGACUUCUCUAUUGUUGCCCUUCAUCACUCAGCAGUGAAGAAUGAAAAUCAACAGAGCUUUCCCCAGCCUGCUGCUUAAGCAGCUGCUAGCAGGCUGAGGCUGCCCAGCCUCAUUAACCCAUUAGAUGCUGCGUUCGCCCGGGAGUCAUUCUUAAUGAGGCUGCUGCAGAUGAGAAAACAGAAGCAAAGGCAGAAAGAUGCUACAUUGCCAGCUUUGAAGAUGGAGGGAAGAGGUCACAAACCAAGGAAGGCAAUGAGGACGUUGCACAAGACAGUCCCUGAUACCCAGAGUUUACUGCCUAAGAGAGGAUACAUCCUUCAAACCAAUAAUCUGCUAAUAGCAAGAUCCAAUAGCUUCAUGGAUAUUGAAAGAAACUGAGAAUCAAAUUUGCAUACUUCUGAGUCACUUGGAAACAAAAAACAAGUACAGUCUUAGAUUCUGAGGGAACAAAAAUUAAAAAUCACAUUAGGAAGAGAAUUCCUAAUGUAGGAACUCAUCCUGGAAGAUUCUUCAGCAAAAGUACAGACAAUAAUAAUAAUACUCCAUGAAGUUACCAUCGAUAUUGAAUGAAUUAAUGAAUGUAAAAACCUCAAAACCCUGCCUGGCCCAGAGCUUUGGAAUGGGUUUGGAUCUACCACUCAACUGCUUUAUGACUUCAGACCAGUUAUUUAAAUUCCCUGAAGCUCAGUUUCCACAUCUUUGAGUUUUUAUUAAUGACCUGCCGACAUCAUACAGUUCAUGAAAUGCUCUGGAUGUGUACAUGCUGAUGAUACGACCUCAGACCCAGCAAGAGCUCAGUGCAGCCCGGAGAGCUGUGAGCAGUGCCACAGGAGGAGAUGACUGGUGAGUGAAAUAAGCAAGAUAGGAGUUGAAGUGUACAUGAAGCAGAGUCCAAGCCUUCUCCUUCUGGAUGUUCAGCUGGAUCAUCCUGACUGCUCCCACUUUCAUCUUGGCUUUCAAAGGGCUAUAUGGAUGUGCUCUACUUGUUGGAGGAUUGUCCAUCCACUCUUCUUCCUGUACUUACCAGGACAGAACAGCCGCAACUUCUCAGACAGUUCAUUCUUCUUUUCCUCACCUACUACCAUCUAAGAAAGGUACUUGAUGACUGUGGCUUUAGACAAGAGUCCUUUUCUUACCACAGGGUGGGCAGCACCAGCUCAUUAGAACCAUUUGUGUGACUGACUGAAGACAGCUCACCUUGGAACACUGCAGGUUGAAGAUCAUCUCUUCUUUUUUUCAUGGUGUUAAGCAUGCCUCCAAAGAAGUCUACAAAUUCCAUCAGUCAGUAACGGCUUGGAGUUCCAAAGCUUAUGACUCAAAGGUGAUCAGAGCAUGGACCUGGGGCUAGUCUGGAUUGGUAACUGCUAAACUUGGAUACAUGGCUUCUGAUGGCCCUGCUGGGGAGACCAUGUGGAGAGAUGGCAUAGAGCCAGAGAUUCACGUUCCAGGAGCCCUGACUGUCUCAUCUCAGGGAAUUGAAUCUCCUUGUGCUCCAGACCCUAUGAGAGGAUGCCAUCCCCUGCUACCAUCUGACUGCAACCUCAGGAGACACCCCAAGCCAGAACUGAGCAGCCAAGCCACUCUCAUAUUCUUGACCCAUAGACAUUGGGAGAUAAAAACUGAUUGUUGUCAAUUUUAGUCAGUACAUUUUAGGGCAAUUUGAUGUCCUAGCAAUAGACUAGUAUAUUUAUCCAUUGCUGCAUCUUCUUCUGCUUAGAUUAUGAUGCAUGUUUUUUAGCUCCAACUAGUAUCUAAACUUGUCAUGGUCUUUGCUUGAAAGUUUGAUUUUUUGCUGCCCUUGAACUUUACCCCUGAUUCCAAUUUACCCAUUUGUUUUGGUUUAGUUUAAGGAGAUUGUAAACAAGUAUGCCUACAAGGGCCAUGCAACAAAUGCUAAAAAGAGAAGUAGACCUGGGCAGGGAGGCAAGGGAGCGGAAAGAUGUGUAGUACGUUCAGCUCAGGUCACGUUCAUCAUCCAGCUCUGGAAGAUGGAUCCAGUGGGCAUGUGUGCCUAAUGAUGCCACAUUAUCUGAUUUUUUUCUCCAAAAGAAAAAUCAAGAUUUUUAUUAAAAAUCUUCUGGUUUAAAAAAAUUUAAAUGCUAUUCAAAUUUCAAUAACAACCAUGCCAGAUAAAAAAUAGCUACUGACUGAACUUAGCCAUGAUCUGCCAACUUGCAACCUCCAAAUUAGAAGUUUUUAGCCACUAUGGAUGUUAGGAAGACCUGAAACACAGAAUAGAGAGAUUCCAAUUUUUCUAGUGACAAUGAGUCCUGAGAAAGGUGACAAAAUCAGAAUAACCUUUGGAGAAAGAUAAAUGCUACUAUCAGUGGAAUGGGAUUCAGUCUUCAGCCUGUUGUAGUAAUUCAGUAAGCACAUGUGGUCAUUGAGUGAACUCGCAUGGCCAAUACAAGGUAAGCUUGGCGGUUCCUUCUAUGUCAAACGUUCUAUUUAAAUAGAGAGAAAAGAGGAGUAAUAAUUGUUAAAACCCUUUUGCAGUUUUAAAAAGGCAUAUAAAUAGUAAAGGACCAGUUACCUUGCUUGAGAAAUUUGUACAGUACCUAGUUGUUCCUGAAAGAGUGUACUGACAGGAGCUGAAAAGCCUACCUGGAAGAGAAUAUGGUCCCAAAUUCCAAAGGCAGAAAGGAACACAGGUUAAAUAGAAGGAGCAGUAACAACCCAGACCAGAGAAGCCAGGCAAAGCCUUGGAGACUAGGUAUACAUAGGAGAUAGCAGUUCUCAAUUCCCAUUCCCUUUGUGCCAAGCACAGGCACCGUGAUCCUUCACUGAAGCUCAGUGAACACUGUUCUCAGAGAGAGGUCCUGUCAGCAUCCACCUACCGAACCAUCAAAUGUGUAUCUGUCUCAGUUCUGCUUGGGAGCCUGAUACAGAUCUUUCCAUCACUCAUGAAGGCCCUAGAAUGCAUCCUCUUUUUUUUUUUUUCCUUCUGGAAAAUAUCAACCAGUUUUGGUAGAUUUUACCUUUCCAUUCUCUGUGUCCCUCCAUUAUUUUGGUCAACUCACCUCUGAAAACAGCAAAGCCUCUCAGGUCUACCGUGGGACACGCAGAAUUACAAGCUGAGCUACCCUCUGGGAUGGAAGCAGGGGUCUGGGAGGGUGGCACUAACGCUUAAUAUUAUUGAGUUAAAAUCUCAAUAAAUUAUCCCAGUAAAUCAUACAAUCAGAAAGACAAAGUCCUUGCCAAUAAAUAUGCACAACUCUCUGCCUAGAGACAAACCCACCUUGAGUUCACUCACGCAACCCAAUACCCAUAAACUACUCUCCAUAAAGCAAUGGAAAAGAGGAGCUGAGGUUAACAAAGUUCUUUCAGCCUACCCACGUAGGCUGACAUUUAUCUGCAUGCAUAGAACUCACAACAUUUAUUGUAGCAGAGUACAUAUUUCAGAAAACUGAUUUUGCUUUUUCCUAUAGCUGAUAACCUGGAAAAUACAGUCAUCUGUACUCUGUCUCCCAGGCGAUAGUGCAAAUCAGUAAAGAGUUUCCAUUGAUGGUUCUUUUGCAGACUCUAACCACAAUUGAACUCUCUGCUUUCCAUCAGUCGCCCACCCUGUUGUGUACAAAGAAGCAGAUAUGCAAUAUAGCAGGAGCCCCAAGAAAAGGUCUGGCUGUUCUGUCAAAACUAUUUAGUUCAAUAUUGUUCUCAAUGUGGCACCAUAGCCCUGGACAUGACACCCAGCACGUCCAAACAGACAUGAUUAUAUAUGAGACAGAAAGGCACUUACAUCACUGCGGGUUGUUAUGCUUUAAAGGGCUUUUUCCCCCCUCUUCAAAUUAAAAGUUUUCAAAAAUGAAAUAAAAAUAAACCUUUGAAGAAACCAGAUUGAGACUGAAUUUGGAAGGCCCUCCUGCCUAGUGUAUACUAAAGAAACAUUUUCUGGGUUUGUCCCUGAUGAUUUUCCUUGUAGUUGAGAAACACAAUCCACUGGAAGCUUUUGUGGCAGAACAAGAAUUUUAUGAACACGAACUUUACAAAGACUUCCCUAGGAGAUUUAAGGUCUGGAAAUCAAUAGAUCAAUCAGCAGCUUUUAUCAAUCUAUAAUGGUUCUCUCUCUUUGGAUGUUUGGAUGAAAAUGGGAUCAACGUAAAUUGAACAUGGAAUCACUUAUUCUUACAAGUUAAAUUUGUCAAACUGUAAGGCACAUAAAUGACAUGAAAUGUAAUCAUUUUUGAAUUUGGGACCCUACAGGGUGCACGUUGAUUGAAGAAAAAACAAGCAGAUGUUGCUUCAGCAUAACUCAUAGAGGCAAUCUAAAUGUUCUUCAAUCCCUGACACUUCUGAUCGUUUCCCAAAUAAACCAGUUCAUUAGUUAA